rnacentral:rRNA from 1 species
UACGAAGGGGGCGAGCGUUGUUCGGAAUCACUGGGCGUAAAGGGCGCGUAGGCGGCGGACCAAGUCGAGUGUGAAAGCCCCGGGCUCAACCUGGGAGGUGCGCUCGCGACUGGUUUGCUGGAGUUCGGGAGAGGAGCGUGGAAUUCCCAGUGUAGAGGUGAAAUGCGCAGAUAUCAGGAGGAACACCUAUUGCGAAGGCAGCUCGCUGGGACGUUACUGACGCUGAGACGCGAAAGCGUGGGGAGCAAACAGG